rnacentral:rRNA from 1 species
UACGUAGGGAGCAAGCGUUGUUCGGAUUUACUGGGCGUAAAGGGCGCGUAGGCGGCAAUUCAAGUCAGCUGUGAAAUCUCCGGGCUUAACUCGGAACGGUCAGCUGAUACUGCUUUGCUAGAGUGCAGAAGGGGCAAUCGGAAUUCUUGGUGUAGCGGUGAAAUGCGUAGAUAUCAAGAGGAACACCUGAGGUGAAGACGGGUUGCUGGGCUGACACUGACGCUGGAGGCGCGAAAGCGUGGGGAGCAAACAGG